rnacentral:misc_RNA from 1 species
GUUUUUCUGCAACUCUUUUAGAGUCUUUUUGCUGAAUCUUUAACUGGGUUUUUGUUGUUUUCUCCGAUUAUAGAAUUCUAUAGGUAACAAUUGAUUAUGGAGGGUGAGUUCUUUCUGAAUGCGCAAAUCCCUCCGCCGCCAUUGCACUUUGAGCCAACUUCAACAUCUGCAAUGCCCAUUUGGCAUUCACUCUCUUCGGCCAUGGAAAUGCAAGCUAAUGAACUCAAUUGCUCCACUGAGCAGUCACCUGAUUGUUUCUUCACUCCUAACUGGGAAAAGUCAACGGAUCAAGGUCUCCACUUUGACUCUGCUCUGAGUUCAAUGGUGUCCUCGCCAGCGGCCUCCAAUUCUAACAUAUCCGGCGAGAGCUUUGUGAUCAGAGAACUCAUAGGAAAAUUAGGAAACAUUGGCAGCACCAACAACAAUUCUGGCGAGAUCUCCCCGCAUUCCCGGCCUAUGUUGGCGGCUUCAUAUAUUACCCCUGGAAAUAACAGCGCCAACACUUCCUGUUAUAGUACUCCUUUGAAUUCACCGCCAAAGCUGGAUUUGCCUCCAUUAGAUCAAUUUUCCAAGGAAAAUUUGAAAUUUCCCAGUUUGGGGAAACCUCUGGGUUUGAAUUCUAGUGUAGCAGAAUUCACAGCUGAUCCUGGAUUCGCCGAGAGAGCUGCAAGGUUCUCUUGCUUUGGCAGCAGGAGUUUCAAUGGUAGAAGCAGCCAGAUGGGGC